UUCCUUAGAGCUGUGGUUGAAAGUCGAAGCCAGUCGCAGGCGAAACGACCCACGUAAGGUAACCCUGAUGAUUACUGAGCAUGGUGCGGCUUUGGAGUAAGUCCUGCCUUAACCUUAAGUGGUUAUAAAAAUAAGAGAAGAGUAAUAGUGAGGGAUAAAGUUCCUAAGCAAACCUCUCAGCAGGCGGGUGUGGGGGCAAAGACCAGGUCAGUCUAAGGAA
rnacentral:ncRNA from 1 species